rnacentral:tRNA from 1 species
UCCCUGGUGGCUCAGAGGGUAAAGCGUCUGCCUGUGAUGCACAAGACCCAGGUUCGAUCCCUGAGUCAGGAA